rnacentral:tRNA from 1 species
UCCCUUGUAGCUCAGUCAGUAAAGAAUCUGCCUGCAGUGCAGGAGACCCGGGUUCGAUUCUUGGGUAGGGAA